rnacentral:pre_miRNA from 1 species
GACAUCUGCUUGAGCAAUGGCACACAGCCCUCGGUUGUUGAGCUUUAUGCAGAGAAAGUCAACAACUGAGGGCUUUGUGCCAUUGCUCAAGCAGAGUC